rfam:Human parechovirus 3 genomic RNA, complete genome, strain:A308/99.
UUUGAAAGGGGUCUCCUAGAGAGCUUGGCCGUCGGGCCUUAUACCCCGACUUGCUGAGCUUCUCUAGAAGAGUCCUUUUCCCAGCCAGAGGUGGCUGGUUAAAUAAUACCUAC